rnacentral:rRNA from 1 species
GAUGAACGCUGGCGGCGUGCCUAAUACAUGCAAGUCGAGCGACCACACGAGGAGCUUUUGCUCCUACCGUUAGCGGCGGACGGGUGAGUAACACGUGGAUAACCAACUUCUUUUUCUUGGAUAAUUUCGGGAAAACGCUGCCACUACUAGCUAAUAUAUUCUACCGCUUGGUUCAAUAGUUCUUCACGCCUUUCCCGUUUCCUAUAGAUGGAUCCGCGCCGCAUUAGCUAGUUGGUAAGGUAACGGCCUACCAAGGCAACGAUGCGUAGCCGACCUGAGAGGGUGAUCAGCCACACUGGAACUGAGACACGGUCCAGACUCCUACGGGAGGCAGCAGUAGGGAAUCUUCGGCAAUGGGCGAAAGCCUGACGCAGCAACGCCGCGUGGGUGAUGAAGGUCUUCGGGUCGUAAAGCUCUGUUGUUGGGGAAGAAAAAAUGUAUGAGUAUACCUGGCCGUCUUGACGGUACCUAAAGAGAAAGCAACGGCUAACUUCGUG